rnacentral:tRNA from 1 species
CAAAAUGUAGCUUAACUUAAAGCAUCUCGCUUACACCAAGAAGAUAUCUGUUUAAUCCAGGUCGUUUUGA